CCCAUACCACAUAUUGAGAAAACUAGAAGAGAAUGAACCUGGCCAGAGGAGAAUGAAAUGGCUUGAUAUAGAUGAAGAUGCAGCGGCCAUAAGUGAUGGAAACCACAGUAAUAUGUGAAGAACAGUUGUUCAUGUAUUCUAGAGGAAAAGAAAGGAAUAUCAUUAUAUACUGCUAAUG
rnacentral:antisense_RNA from 1 species